rnacentral:rRNA from 1 species
GAGCGGUAACAGGCGUAGCAAUACGUGCUGACGAGCGGCGAACGGGUGAGUAAUGCUUCGGAAUCUGCCCAAUGGUGGGGAAUAACCAGCCGAAAGGUUGGCUAAUACCGCAUGAGCCCUUCGGGGGAAAGCAGGGGAUCGUAAGACCUUGCGCCGAUGGAUGAGCCGAAGUCGGAUUAGCUAGUUGGUAGGGUAACGGCCUACCAAGGCGACGAUCCGUAGCUGGUCUGAGAGGACGACCAGCCACACUGGGACUGAGACACGGCCCAGACUCCUACGGGAGGCAGCAGUGGGGAAUAUUGGACAAUGGGGGAAACCCUGAUCCAGCGACGCCGCGUGUGUGAAGAAGGCCUGCGGGUUGUAAAGCACUUUUAGUGGGGAUGAAAAGCUCAGGGCUAAUACCUCUGGGUCUUGACCUAAUCCACAGAAAAAGCACCGGCUAACUCUGUG